rnacentral:rRNA from 1 species
GGGGUGCUCGAGUGGCGAACGGGUGAGUAACACGUGAGUAACCUGCCCUUGACUUUGGGAUAACUUCAGGAAACUGGGGCUAAUACCGGAUAGGAGCUCCUGCUGCAUGGUGGGGGUUGGAAAGUUUCGGCGGUUGGGGAUGGACUCGCGGCUUAUCAGCUUGUUGGUGGGGUAGUGGCUUACCAAGGCUUUGACGGGUAGCCGGCCUGAGACGGGUGACCGGCCACAUUGGGACUGAGAUACGGCCCAG